rnacentral:rRNA from 1 species
AGCGAACGCUGGCGGCAGGCUUAACACAUGCAAGUCGAACGGGCACUUCGGUGCUAGUGGCAGACGGGUGAGUAACACGUGGGAACGUACCUUUCGGUUCGGAAUAAUUCAGGGAAACUUGGACUAAUACCGGAUACGCCCUUUUGGGGAAAGAUUUAUCGCCGAUAGAUCGGCCCGCGUCUGAUUAGCUAGUUGGUGAGGUAAAGGCUCACCAAGGCGACGAUCAGUAGCUGGUCUGAGAGGAUGAUCAGCCACAUUGGGACUGAGACGCGGCCCAAACUCCUACGGGAGGCAGCAGUGGUGAAUAUUGGACAAUGGGCGCAAGCCUGAUCCAGCCAUGCCGCGUGAGUGAUGAAGGCCUUAGGGUUGUAAAGCUCUUUUGUCCGGGAAGAUAAUGACUGUACCGGAAGAAUAAGCCCCGGCUAACUUCGUGCCAGCCGCCGCGGUAACAC